AAAUUGAAGAGUUUGAUCAUGGCUCAGAUUGAACGCUGGCGGCAGGCCUAACACAUGCAAGUCGAACGGUAACAGAAAGCAGCUUGCUGCUUUGCUGACGAGUGGCGGACGGGUGAGUAAUGUCUGGGAAACUGCCUGAUGGAGGGGGAUAACUACUGGAAACGGUAGCUAAUACCGCAUAACGUCGCAAGACCAAAGAGGGGGACCUUCGGGCCUCUUGCCAUCGGAUGUGCCCAGAUGGGAUUAGCUUGUUGGUGGGGUAACGGCUCACCAAGGCGACGAUCCCUAGCUGGUCUGAGAGGAUGACCAGCCACACUGGAACUGAGACACGGUCCAGACUCCUACGGGAGGCAGCAGUGGGGAAUAUUGCACAAUGGGCGCAAGCCUGAUGCAGCCAUGCCGCGUGUAUGAAGAAGGCCUUCGGGUUGUAAAGUACUUUCAG
rnacentral:rRNA from 1 species